AUUGAACGCUGGCGGCAGGCCUAACACAUGCAAGUCGAGCGGAUGAAGGGAGCUUGCUCCUGGAUUCAGCGGCGGACGGGUGAGUAAUGCCUAGGAAUCUGCCUGGUAGCGGGGGAUAACGUCCGGAAACGGGCGCUAAUACCGCAUACGUCCUGAGGGAGAAAGUGGGGGAUCUUCGGACCUCACGCUAUCAGAUGAGCCUAGGUCGGAUUAGCUAGUUGGUGGGGUAAAGGCCUACCAAGGCGACGAUCCGUAACUGGUCUGAGAGGAUGAUCAGUCACACUGGAACUGAGACACGGUCCAGACUCCUACGGGAGGCAGCAGUGGGGAAUAUUGGACAAUGGGCGAAUGCCUGAUCCAGCCAUGCCGCGUGUGUGAAGAAGGUCUUCGGAUUGUAAAGCACUUUAAGUUGGGAGGAAGGGCAGUAAGUUAAUACCUUGCUGUUUUGACGUUACCAACAGAAUAAGCACCGGCUAACUUCGUG
rnacentral:rRNA from 1 species